AUGCUCGACUUGUCUGGUAAUCAUCUCACUGGUAAGAUUCCAGCUGCAUUGAACAAUCUGCACUUCCUUUCCAGAUUCAACAUUUCUAAUAAUGACCUAGAAGGCCCUAUUCCAAACAUGGGCCAGUUCAGCACGUUUCCGGAUUCUAGCUUUGGUGGAAACCCAAAACUGUGUGGCCCUAUGGUUGCAAACCAUUGUGGUUCGGCAGAAGCAAGUCCAGUUUCCAUUGACCCUAUAAAACAGAUUGGUAGUGAGGCCAUCAUCUUUAUGACCUCCUUCGGUGUUUUCUUUGGAGUAGGAGUCCUAUAUGAUCAGAAAGUCUUAGCUAGACAUUUUGGCUGA
rnacentral:rRNA from 1 species